UGCGUAGGCGGACUAAUAAGUCAGUGGUGAAAUCUUUCGGCUCAACCGAGAAACUGCCAUUGAUACUGUUAGUCUUGAGUUCGGUUGAGGUAGGCGGAAUGUGUAAUGUAGCGGUGAAAUGCUUAGAUAUUACACAGAACACCAAUUGCGUAGGCAGCUUACUAGACCGACACUGACGCCGAGGCACGAAAGCGUGGGGAGCGAACAGGAUUAGAUACCCUGGUAGUCC
rnacentral:rRNA from 1 species